GUAGGGGGCAAGCGUUGUCCGGAUUUACUGGGUGUAAAGGGUGCUCAGGUGGAUUUGUAAGUCAGAGGUGAAACUCCGGAGCUUAACUCCGGAAGCUGCCUUUGAUACUGCAAGUCUCGAGUUUGAGAGAGGGCAAUGGAAUAUCUGGUGUAGCAGUGAAAUGCGUAGAUAUCAGAUAGAACACCAAGUGGCGAAGGCAGUUGCCUGGCUCAAUACUGACACUAAAGCACGAAAGUGUGGGGAGCAAACAGGAUUAGAUACCCUGGUAGUCCACACCCUAAACGAUGAGUACUAGACGUUGGUCCUUUUAAGGAUCAGUGUCUGAGCUAACGCAUUAAGUACUCCACCUGGGAAGUACGAUCGCAAGGUUG
rnacentral:rRNA from 1 species